rnacentral:pre_miRNA from 1 species
CUCGUUGGACGAAAUUGGUUUUCACAGUGAUCUGCAGAUCUUUUCAUAUAUUCUGAGAUCAUCGUGAAAGCUGAUUUUGUUAAGUAGUUGC